ensembl:lncRNA
GUUUUCUUGCUUAAAAGUGCCUUCAACUUUAGUAGUGAAAGGCUUCAAGAGAGAUUUUUAGUUGAGAGAAAGACAGGUGGAGAGAAUAUGACACAGGUUAAGAAAAUGUAUGGCUAGCCUAACUGAUUGAGUUUUUUUUCUUCCCUCCUCACAAUAGCAGAACAUGGCUGAGUCAAGAAAUGCAAUGACAUUUGAUUUAAGGAUAUUUAUUUACCACUUCAUAGCUCACUCGCUCAUGCAUUUAUGGCAUUAAAUUCAUACUCUGCAUUUCUACCAAAAGAAUACUCAAAGCAGUCAAUAAAACAAAGAAAGAUAAAAUAAUAAAGGCCUUAAGAUUCAUCAAACUGAAAACCUGCCCAACAAAAAUACAACAAUAUAAAAAUUAUUUACAGGGCUCAUAAGAUUAAAACCUACAUUAUGGCAAGUCACCUUAGUCCAAAAGCUGCUUUGGUAAAAUGUUUAUCAGAAGAUGAACAACAGAGAUAGAGCUAUCAUGGCCUCCUUUGGCAGAAGGCUCCAAAGCCUGGAAGCAACCUCCAAGGAGACCCAUCAUGAGAGAAGUUGCUCUGGAGAAGCUUAAUAUGUGUCAACACUUGUCCACUAUGAUUUAAGAAGAUACUACUUCUCACCCUGCUUGCGUUGUAGGGUUAUGACCCAAAGGAGAAGUCCAACACAUUAUGGUUUCUAAAAUAUUUUCUGCCUGAAGACGUGUUCAUUCAGAAUCAAGUGACUCCCAUGCAAAAAACUCAGACACACCAAUCACAAGCUGGAAUAAAGUUGACAAAACACUGGGGUUUAACUGAAGGAGCUGGCUUAAGGCGCAAGGUGAUUAGUCUUCAUUUGCACAUCUGCAGCCCGAUAGGCAGCAAUGUCAGAGGAGAAAGGAUCAGCCAAAGCCAAUCGCUCCAACCUGUGGCCGAAGAAACACUCCAGACAGUACUUUUGCUGUAGCUAGACUUCACAGAAUGAAAAACAGAGAAGGGGAUUCACAGAGGUUGAACUAUUAAAUAAAGCCCAUCUGUCCCAAUGAAGAAUAAACCAGCCAAUUUGGUGAGUCUUGGAUUUCUCUUGAAAUUUGAUGUACAUAUUUUCCCUCAUGGGCUGUCAAAGCCAUUGUGGCACAAGACCUCAAGGUCUUUAAUUGCUGGCUUGGAAUGACAGGUUUGGAAUUGUAGCUCUCUGGCUACAGAAGUUGCGCUGGAUACAGUUUUUGUUUGACUCAGCUGUUGAAGUUGUCUCCUAGACUUAAACUGCUAAUCCCAAAUCUACAGAAAAUGCAAAUAUCUAAAACUAUUUGCAAAUGACAUCUGAAACAAAGGUCUCUUUGCAAAGCUGAUGAUCAUGUUAUCAACAAAUGCUUGGAAAUCAUGCCAUUUAUCACCAUGGUAUGAUUAUAAAGUGCACUUAAUUUUCAGUGAUAAAAGUUGAAAGGGAGGAAAUGCAAACUUCUUUGCUUUCAUAUAUUUGUAAUAGUUUUCUUUUCAGAUUCAGGGAAAUGGAAUAUUGUGAAACCAUGUUAGAAUAUGAUGCAUUAUCAAAACAUGUAAUUAUUAUUCAUAGAAGUGAAAUUAUUUCCAUUAUUAUUUUGAAGUAUUGAACCAUGCAUGAUAUAUAGUGGAAUAAAUCAUUAUAUUACAUUCCAGUGAUAGUCAGUGUAUUGUACCCUAAUAACAUACUUGAUCUAAUUGUAAUAUAUAUAAGUACAUAUACCUAUUAAUUUUACCACUGUCUAAAAUAAUCUUUGAUGCCACAGUGAAAUACAAAACAGUUCUACUUUAUGACUAUUUAGCUCUAUUGCUGUGCAUUGUAUUUCAAGAAUAUGUUUGUAUACAUUUCGAAAUAAGAGGUGCUCUUUGUAAUCAAAAUAUCACUUGUUCAACUACAAAGAAUUGGUUUACUUGAAAUCUGUAUUACAGUUAUUUAAAAUAGUAAAUGACAUAACCACCACUCACUCAUUAAUUGUUCUAGAACAGUUAAAAUAUAACUCAUAACCCAAUGCAAAUUAAGACACUGCUAACACAGUAAUUCGUAAAUCAGAUUGAAUAUCCUUUAAUCUGGAAUUCCAAAAUCUGAAAUACCCCAAAAUCCAAAACUUCCCCCACAGAUGGCUGAAAUUUUAAGUCCUUUGCAUUCUGGUGGUUCAAUGUAUCCAAGUCUGAAUCAUGCAGAAAAUUACUUUAAUUAUUAUAUAUAACAACAUUACCUUGAGAUAAUAUAUCUAAAAUGUAUAAGAUACACCAAUGAAUUUCAUGUUUAGACUUAUCUUCCUUCUCCAGAACAAACACAACUAUUCUAAAACCUGAGCAAAACUGAAAUCCAAGCAUUUCAGAUAAUAAAUGUUCAACCUGUAAUAAAGUUAAAUAAACUGCUUACUCUGUAUAUCUGUGGGAUUUUAAAUUGCUUAAUUUUGGCAGAGUUGUGCUUCAAUAAUCUUCUGUUACUUUCCUCUUGUGAGAUUACUAAAAUUCUUGAAAUAUUUUCCAUUUAACAUGACAUUUAUUAGUAAAAUUAGUGUAAGUUAUGGUAAAGGAUAGAUGGUGUUCAAUUUUAUCUUUGAUCUUGUUUGAUUUGAUAUUUAAUUUGAUAUUAUAAAUCUGAUCUGAAGUUAAUUUGGGGACAUCAAAACUACACACAGGUAAGUCUGAACCUUGAUAUAUUUAUAAACAUCAGCUUUCUGGUUAUUCUUUCUAAUUAGUUGGUAGUACAAUAAAUAUGUUUUAUUUAUACUUCUUAUAUUUGUAUGCUAAUAUAUCAGUGGUUUCAAAACAUUUCUUUUGUUGCAUAUCAGAAUCAAUCACAUUUAUAAGGGAAUACUUAAAGCAGAAAAUGAUUUUAUGUUAUUUUUAAUUUCAAAUUAUGUAAAAGGGAUAACAUAGUUGAUUAUUUUCAAGUUUUUUUUCACAAUCCUAGCUGCAUUUAUUAUCAUUGGAAAAUACCUUGUGUGUUUAUUUCAUAAUUCAUUUAUCUCUUAAGUAUAAAUCUGGAGGACCAGGCACUAAUUUUCCUAUAGAUGGUUAUAGCAUUGGAUCCGAGUUGGUCCUAUUUUAAUCAGGCUCACUCAAAUCAAUCUAAUUUAAAUUAGCCACGAUUAAGCUAAACCCCACUGAAAUGAAAGGAUCUUGAAAGUAAAUCUGGAUACAGUUUAAGAGUAAUUUGUUUAAAAGGCCAUAUUGUGGAACACUAUUGAUGUAAGCAGUGCUCAGAUCAGUACUAACACAAGUUGCAAUUUCAUGUGAAAAGAGCACAUGUCGUUUUAAAUACAAUUCAUAAAUAAAUGCAAUUAAAUACAACACAAAACUGUCUUACUACUCAUUAACUUUUAAAGCUGAUUUUGCACAAUUCAUUAGAUUUUCUAUUGACACAGAUAUUUGCUAAUACUGAAUGACUAGGAAUCCUGCUUUUCCUGCUUCUUUUGACACCUUGUUUAUCUUGACAGAAAUUUGUAAUAUUAUAAAUAGAGGAUUAUGUUUAAUUGGAAAGCAUCCACCAGCAGCAUAUUAAGCAGCAAACUUUAUGUUCUCACAUGACUUUCUCAAAGAAAAAAUGAUAAAAGGAAAACAGUUACCAAAAAAAAUUGACGAUGCGAUUGUCUCCUGAGAAGUUCAUUUUAGUCAUAUUAUCAAGCAUUUUCCUUAUCUCUUUUCCAUUAAUGGUUUCUAAAUGUGGAUCCCAUUUAAAUGAAAAUAUUAUCUUAUAUUCUCAUUUAUAUUUCCUAUUGGAUAUUGAAAAUAUCAGGCUUCUUACAUAAAUUAACUAUAAACCUCAAAAGUUCAUACUGAAAGUAUAUUAAUUUAGCAGCCCAAAUGUAUGCAAACCUUAUUAUUACCAAAGCGUACAAAAAGAUAUUUUCUUAAUGGGAUAUAAGUGAGUGAUAAUCAAAAUCUGUAAUUUAAAAAGUCGAAGUUUGUGUAUACUGUGUAUGUACCCUAACACUGCAAUUAUAUGAUUUACAUUAAUAUCACUGUCCUUAGAUUGCAACAAAAUAAAAGUCUCCAGAUAGUAACACAAAUCAGUUAUCUAUCUAUCUAUCUAUCUAUCUAUCUAUCUAUCUAUAUCUAUCUAAAAAAUAAACAUCUCUAUCUCUCUAUCUCAAAAGAAGCAUCUUUACUUGUAUGGCAAGGAAGUUUAAAACUAAUAUAAAAUCAUGCACUGAGCACUACCUGUAAGUACAGUCUGUGCAUAGAAGUAUAGUGAUCAUUUUGAGUAAAUCAGGGGUAUCCUUUUCUUUUAAAAUUGUUUUUGUUUCAUAUUCUUUCCCACUUUUUCAUACUUUUAAGGAAAUAAAGAUAUCACAUUAAAGCACUUUAAUAUUCAAAGUUAAGUAUUUAAAGACAUAUGUAAAGACAUAUGUAAAGCAUAUAAUAAAUAUUAUUUCUAUGUAUGAUAUAUUAAGGAAGUAAGAUAAAGAGUACAGAGCAGUAAUGUAAUGUGAUAUGGUUUCUCCCACAUACAAAACCUGUGUAUGUUUGCACACAUACUAUGGCUCUAUGAGAGAUUUUAACAACAAUUCAGUUCCCUACUACAAUUUAGUUGCCUGGAUAGAUGCAAAUUGAUGCAUGUUUCUUUAGGCUUAACCUCCUUCCACCUAUUAUUCCACCACCGCAUCUUAACCCUCAAUGAUUCAUUCCUCAUUAACCCAGAAAACAGUGUCUUCUGCCCUAAUCUUUUAUAAAUACAUUCAGUGCAAGGGACAUCUUCAUUAGCUGCGAUGUCAAAGAACUAGUAGACACCCCAUGUUCCAACCAAGGUCAACAAGAUGAAGAGAAGUGCCAUGUAAAGCAACAAAACCUGGGUUGUAUAAUGGGACCACUGAUGGAUUGUUCCUUAGCAGUUGUCCUCUCUUGGAAGACAGAAAGGUAUAUUCCAAGUAGUUUGUCCUGCAGCAUUUAGGCUAGUCACCAGCUGUCAGAUAAAAUGUAGGAUGCUUUCAUAUCACUGGUGUCAAAUACUGUAAUUAUUUAAUAAAAUUUGACAAAUUUUCUCUUCCUGGUUUGAAAGUAUUAUUUCCUGCUUAUAAUUCUGUGGUAGUUGUUAUACUCCUGAAAUGUUUGGACCUCAAAUCAAGAAAGUUAUUGAGUGUCAAGAAUUUCCCAA